ACGAACGCUGGCGGCGUGCCUAAUACAUGCAAGUCGAACGCUUCUUUUUCCACCGGAGCUUGCUCCACCGGAAAAAGAGGAGUGGCGAACGGGUGAGUAACACGUGGGUAACCUGCCCAUCAGAAGGGGAUAACACUUGGAAACAGGUGCUAAUACCGUAUAACAAUCGAAACCGCAUGGUUUUGAUUUGAAAGGCGCUUUCGGGUGUCGCUGAUGGAUGGACCCGCGGUGCAUUAGCUAGUUGGUGAGGUAACGGCUCACCAAGGCGACGAUGCAUAGCCGACCUGAGAGGGUGAUCGGCCACAUUGGGACUGAGACACGGCCCAAACUUCUACGGGAGGCAGCAGUAGGGAAUCUUCGGCAAUGGACGAAAGUCUGACCGAGCAACGCCGCGUGAGUGAAGAAGGUUUUCGGAUCGUAAAACUCUGUUGUUAGAGAAGAACAAGGAUGAGAGUAACUGUUCAUCCCUUGACGGUAUCUAACCAGAAAGCCACGGCUAACUACGUGCCAGCAGCCGCGGUAAUACGUAGGUGGCAAGCGUUGUCCGGAUUUAUUGGGCGUAAAGCGAGCGCAGGCGGUUUCUUAAGUCUGAUGUGAAAGCCCCCGGCUCAACCGGGGAGGGUCAUUGGAAACUGGGAGACUUGAGUGCAGAAGAGGAGAGUGGAAUUCCAUGUGUAGCGGUGAAAUGCGUAGAUAUAUGGAGGAACACCAGUGGCGAAGGCGGCUCUCUGGUCUGUAACUGACGCUGAGGCUCGAAAGCGUGGGGAGCAAACAGGAUUAGAUACCCUGGUAGUCCACACCGUAAACGAUGAUUACUAGGUGUUGGAGGAUUGACCCCUUCAGUGCCGCAGUUAACACAAUAAGUAAUCCACCUGGGGAGUACGACCGCAAGGUUGAAACUCAAAGGAAUUGACGGGGGCCCGCACAAGCGGUGGAGCAUGUGGUUUAAUUCGAAGCAACGCGAAGAACCUUACCAGGUCUUGACAUCCUUUGACCACUCUAGAGAUAGAGCUUCCCCUUCGGGGGCAAAGUGACAGGUGGUGCAUGGUUGUCGUCAGCUCGUGUCGUGAGAUGUUGGGUUAAGUCCCGCAACGAGCGCAACCCUUAUUGUUAGUUGCCAUCAUUUAGUUGGGCACUCUAGCAAGACUGCCGGUGACAAACCGGAGGAAGGUGGGGAUGACGUCAAAUCAUCAUGCCCCUUAUGACCUGGGCUACACACGUGCUACAAUGGGAAGUACAACGAGUCGCAAAGUCGCGAGGCUAAGCUAAUCUCUUAAAGCUUCUCUCAGUUCGGAUUGUAGGCUGCAACUCGCCUACAUGAAGCCGGAAUCGCUAGUAAUCGCGGAUCAGCACGCCGCGGUGAAUACGUUCCCGGGCCUUGUACACACCGCCCGUCACACCACGAGAGUUUGUAACACCCGAAGUCGGUGAGGUAACCUUUUUGGAGCCAGCCGCCUAAGGUGGGAUAGAUGAUUGGGGUG
rnacentral:rRNA from 1 species